rnacentral:lncRNA from 1 species
CUACGCGGUCAUGUUCUGGCUUCCCAAGUAGGCAGAAUUGGUUUCCCCUGGAAGCAAAGGUACCUUAAAAUUUAGUUUUCAGAGGUUAAAUCUAGAAGGCGGGCAUAUGCUGGAAAGCUCACCUACACGAGGCUUUCUCACACGGGGAUUCCCCCUUUGGGAAUUUCAGUUUCCUCAUCUAAAAAUAAUUGGCUCUGGUGGGCGCGGUGGCUCACUGUUGUAAUCCCAGCACUUUGGGAGGCCGGGUAGGGAGGAUCGUUUGAGCCCAGGAGUUCGAGACCAGCCUCGCCAACACAGCGAGAAUUCUGUCUCUACAAAAAAAAAAAAAAAAUUAAAAAUUAGCUGGAUGUGGUGGCGCGUGCCCGUAGUCCCAGCUACUCGGUAGGCUGAGGCUUAGAUGGGAGCAUCGCUUGAGCCUAAAAAAUUUCAAUAUUACUUCAUUUGUUAACCACAAUUCUUCUACAAAGAGAAACCUCCCUUCAACUAUUUGGCUCCUGAGAUACAAUUAAUGUAGGAAAGGCAGUAUGGGUGCUUGAUUCUCUUACUUUUUUUUUGUUUUUUAAUUUUAGAGACAGGCUCUCUGUCACCCAGGCUGAAAUACAGUGGUGUGAUCAUAGCUCACUGCAGCCUCAAACUCCUGUGCUCAAGCAGUCCUCCCAUUUAAGUAAGUGCCACCACCCCUGGCUAAUUUUUUUUUUUUUAGAGAUGGGCAUCUUGUUAUGUUGCCCAGGUUGGUUUUGAACUCUGGCCUCAAGUGAUCCUCCUGCCUCAGCCUCUCAAAAUGCUGGGAUUACAGGUGUAAGCCACCACACCCAGCCGAUUCUUUCCCUUAUGUGUGUUUUCAAAAUAACAAUUUAGUUCCCUAGCUUUUUUUUUUUUUUUUUGGUAGUGGUGGUUAAAAACACAAAAUAUAAAAUUUACCAUUUUAACCAUUUUUAAGUGUACAGUAGUGUUAACCACAUGCACAUUGUUGCGCAACAGAUCUCUAGAACUUAUUCUUCUUGCAAAACAGAAACUUUAUAUCCAUGGAACAACUUUUUCCUCUUUCUCCAUCCCCUGCCAACCACCAUUCUACUUCUGUUUCUAAGAGUUUAACUACUUUAGAUACUUCAUAUAAGUAGAAUCAUGAGGUGUUUGUCUUUUAGGACCUGGCUUAUUUCACUUAGCAUGAUAUCCACAAGGCUCAUCCAUAGUGUAGUAUAUGACAGGAUUUUCUUCUUUUUAUAAAUGUUGAAUAAUAUUCCACUGUAUGUAUAUGCCACCCAGUUACCUGUCCAUAAACAUUUCUGCUGAUUCCGCCUCUUGGCUAUUGUGAAUAAUGCUGCAGUGAACACGGGUGUGCAGAUAUCUCUAAGAUCCUGUUUUCAGUUCUUUUGGAUAUAUACCCAGAAGUGGAUUGCUAGAUCAUAUGGAAAUUUUAUUUUUUAUUUUUAUAGGAAUCCCCAUACUGUUUUCCAUGGCAGCAUCACCAUUUUACAUUACUAACAACAAUGCACAAAGGUUCCAAUUUCUCCACCUCCUCACCAACACUACAUAUUUUCUGUGUUUGUUUGUAUGUUUGUUUGUUUGUUCUGAGACGGAGUCUAACUCUGUUGCCCAGGCUGGCGUGCAGCGGUGCGAUCUCGGCUCACUGCAACCUCCCCUUCCCAAGUUCAAGCGAUUCUCCUGCCUCAGCUUCCCGAGUAGCUGGGAUUACAGGCGCCCACCACCACCCCCGGCUAAUUUUUGUAUUUUUAGUAGAGACGAGGUUUCACCAUGUUGGCCAAGCUGGUCUUGAACUCCUGACCUCAGGUGAUCCACCCGCCUUGGCCUCCCAAAGUGCUGGGAUUACAGGCGUGAACCACCACGCCCAACCUGUGUUCAUUUGUUUUUUACAGUGGGCAUCCUAAUGGAUGAUGAGGUGAUACCUCAUUGUGGUUUUGAUUUGCAUUUACCUGAUUACUGAUGUUAACCAUGUUUUCAUAUGCUUGUUGGCCAUUUGUAUAUCUUCUUUGGAGAAAUGUUUAUUCAAGUCCUUUGCCCAUUUUUGAAUCGGGUUUUUUGUUGUUGUUGUUGAGUUGUAGGCAUUCUUUAUGUAUCGUGGAUAUUUUCUCCCGUUCCCUAGGUCAUCUUUUCAUUCCGUUGAUUGUGUCCUUUGCUAUGCAGAAGUUUAUGUUUGAUGUAGCCCCAAUUGUCUAUUUUUACUUUGUCUGUGCUUUUGGUAUCAUAUCUGAGAAAUCACUGCUAAAUCCAAUGUCAUGAAGCUUCCCCCGUUGUCUUCUAGGAGUUUUAUAGUUUCAGGUCUUACAUUUAGGUCUUUAGUCCAUUUUGAGUUAAUUUUGGUAUAUGGUGUAGGGUAAAGGUUGAACGUCAUUCUUUUGCUUGCGGAUAUCCGGUUUUCCCAACACUAUUCUCUCCCCACUAUGUAGCUUUGGUACCCUUGUCAAAGAUCACUUGACCAGAUACUUGAGAGUUUAACUCUAGGUUCUCUAUUCUGUUCCGUUGGUCUAUAUGUCUGUUCUUAUGCCAAUACCACUCUGUUUUGAUUACUGCAUCUUUGCACAAUGUUUUGAAGUCAGGAAGUGGGUUCUCUAUUCUACUCCGUUGGUCUAUAUGUCUGUUCUUAUGCCAGUACCACUCUGUUUUGAUUACUGCAUCUUUGUACAAUGUUUGAAGUCAGGAAGUGGAAGGCCUCCGGCUUUAUUUUUCUGAAGAUUAUUUUGUCUAUUCAGGGUCUUUUGAGAUUCCGUAUGAAUUUUAGGACUUUUUAAAAAUCUGCAAAGAAAAAUGGCCCUGGGAUUUUGAUAGGUAUUGCAAUGAAUCUGUAGCUUACUUUGGGUAGUAUGGGAUUUUAACAAUAUUAAGUCUUCCAAUCCACAAACACGAAUGUCUUUCCAUUUAUUUGCAUCUAAUUUCUUUCAGCACUGUUUUGUAGUUUUCAGUAUAUAAGUCUUUUGCCUACUUGAUUAAGUUAUUCCUAAAUAUUUUAUUCUUUUUGAUGCUAUUUUAAAUGUGAUUGUUUUCUUAAUUUCCUUUUUGAGUUGUUCAUUGUUAGUGUUUAGAAGGCAACUGAUUUUUGUGUGUUGAUUUUGUACCUUGCAACUUUGUUGAAUUUAUUUAUUAGUUCUAACCAUUUUUUGGUGGAAUCCUUAGGGUUUUCCACAUAUAAUACCACAUCAUUUGUUAAUGAAGAUAAUUUUACUUCUUUUCCUUUUUUUUUUUUAAGGCAAGGUUUCACCCUUAUCACCAAAGCUGGGGCUCAAGUGAUCCCCCUGCCUUAGCCUCAUGCACAGCUGGGACUACAAGCAUGCAACAUCAUGCCUGGCUAAUUUUUAAAAAGUUUUUUGUAGAGAUAGGGUCUUGCUGUGUUGCCCAGACUAAUCUUGAAAUUCUGGCCUCAAGCAAGCAAUCUUCCCGUCUCAGCCUCCCAAAGUGUUGGGAUUACAGGAUGAGCCACCGUGCCUGGCCCUUCUUUUCCAAUUUUCAGCUUUUAUUUAUUUAUUUUUUGCCUAAGUGCUCUGGCAAGGGCUUUUAGUAAUAUGUUGAAUAGAAGUAGCAAGAAUGUACGUACUUGCCUUGUUCCUGAUCUUAGAAGAAAAGCUUUCAGUUUUUCACUAUUGAAUAUGAUGUUAGCUGUGGGCUUUUCAAACAUGGCCUUUAUUAGGUUGAGAUAAUUUCCUUUCAUUCGUAGUUUGUUGAGUGUUUUUGCCAAGUGCUUUUUCUAUAUCAAUUGAGAUGAUAAUAUGGUUUCUGUUCUUCAUUCUGUUAAUGUGCCUCUCAACUUAAAAUGGCAUUACAUUCUGACAUGCCCAUUGUAAAUAAAAAAUAUCUAAAUAAAAAAUGUACCGAGGCCAGGUGUGGGGUGGCUCACACCUGUAAUCCCAGCACUUUGGGAGGCUGAGUCAGGCAGAUCGCUUUGAGCUUAGAAGUUCAAGACCAGCCUGGGCAACAUAGUGAAACCCCAUCUCUACAAAAAAUUAAAAAAAAAAAAAUGGCUGGGCAUGGUAGCAUGCACCUGUGAAGCUGAGGCUGGAGAAUUGCUUGAACCUGGGGAGCAAAGGUUUCAGUGAGCCAAGGUCAUGCCACUGCAUUCCAGCCUGGGUGACAGAGUAAGACCCUGUCUCAAAAACAAAACAAAACAAAACACCACAAAAAAAAUGCAUUGUAAACACCAAUAAACCCAUCAUAAAACAAAAAAAUUGUAAGUCAGGUCAUGAUCAGUUGCAAACCAUUUGUAGUCCAUUACACUGAUUGAUAUUUGUAUGUUGAACCAUCCUUGCAUUCCAGGAAUAAGUCAAGUCCCACUUGGCCAUGGUGUAUAAUCCAUUUUUUUUUUUUUUUUUGAGACAGAGUCUCACUCUGUUGCCCAGGCUGGAGUGUAGUGGUGCGAUCUCAGCUUAUUGCAACCUCCGCCUCCUGGAUUCAAGCGAUUCUCCUGCCUCAGCCUCCCAGGUAGCUGGGAUUACAGGCGCUUGCCACUAUGAUUGGCUAAUUUUUGUAUUUUUAGUAGAGACAGGGUUUUGCCAUGUUGGCCAGGCUGGUCUUGAACUCCUGACCUCAGGUGAUCCACCCGUCUCAGCCUCCCAAAGUGCUGGGAUUACAGGAGUGAGCUACCAUACCCGGCUGUAUAAUCCUUUUAAUGUGCUGUUGAAUUCAGUUUGUGAGUAUUUUUGUUCAGGAUUUUUACAUGAAUAUCCAUCAAGGAUAUCUAUAGUUUUCUUGUAGUAUCUGUUGUGGUUUUGGUAUCAGGGUAUUGCUGGCCUCAUAAAAUGAGUUUAGGCUGGGCGUGGUGGCUCACACCUCUAAUUCUAACACUUUAGGAGGCUGAGGCGGGCAGAUCACUUGAGUCCAGGAGUUUAAAACCAGCCUGGCCAAUGUGACGAAACUGUGUCUAUACUAAAAAUACAAAAAUUAGCUGGGCCUGGUGGUGCAUGCCUAUAAUCCCAGCUACUCAGGAGGCUGAGACAUGAGAACUGCUUGAGCCUGGGAGGCAGAGGUUGCAGUGAGCUGAGAUUCCACCAUCACACUGUGGCCUGGGUGACAGAGGGGAAACUCUGUCUCAAAAAAAAAAAAGAGUUUAAAAGAGUUACCUUGGCCAGGUGCAGUGGCUCAUGCCUGUAAUCCCACGCAGCAUUUUGGGAGGCCAAGGCGGGUAGAUCACCUGAAGUCUAGAGUUCGAGACCAGCCUGGCCAACAUGGUGAAACCCUAUCUCUACUAAAAAUACAAAAAUUUAGCCAGGUGUGGUGGUGUGCUCCUGUAACCCCAGCUACUCAGGAGGCUGAGGCAGGAGAAUCGCUUGUACAUGGGAGGUGGAGGUUGCAGUGAGCUGAUUGCACUAUUACACUCCAGCCUGGGCAACAAGAGUGAAACUCCAUCUCAAAAAAAAAAAAAAGUGUUACCUUCUCUCUUUCUUCUUUUUUUUUUCUUUUCUAAUGAGAUGGGGUCUCACUAUGUUGUCCAGGCUGGUCUCAAACUCCUGGGCUUAAGUGAUCUUCCCACCUCAGCCUCCCAAAGUGCUGGGAUUACAGAUAUGAGCCACUGUGCCCAGCCAAGUGUUACCUUCUCUUUAAUUUUUUGGAAUAAUUUGAGAAGGAUUGGUAUUAACUUUUCAAUUAAUUCAAAUGUUUGCUAGAAUUCUCCUGUGAAGUAUCUGUUCCUUGGCUUUUCUUUGUUGGGAGUUUUCUGAUUACUGAUUUAAUCUCCUUACUAGUUAUGAAUCUGUUCAGAUGUUUUCUUCUUUUUCUUUAUUUAAAAUUUUUGUUUGUUUGUUUUGAGACAGUCUCACUCUGUUGCCAGGCUGGAGUGCAGUGGUGUGAUCUCGGCUCACUGCAAUCUCCGCCUCCUGGGUUCAAGUGAUUCUCCUGCCUCAGCCUCCCGAGUAGCUGGGGCUACAGUCAUGUGCCACCAUGCCCAGCUAAUUUUUAUAUUUUUAGUAGAGACGGGUUUUCACCAUGUUGGCCAGGAUUGUCUCGAUCUCUUGACCUUGUGAUCCACCCUCCUCGGCCUCCCGAAGUGCUGGGAUUACAAGUGUGAGCCACCGUGCCUGGUCUCUUUUUCUUUAUUUUUAUAGAUGGGAUCUCACUCUGUUGCCCAGGCUGGAGUGCAGUCAUUCAGUCAUAGCUCACUGAAGCCUCAAACUCCUGGCCUCAAGCAAUCCUCCCACCUUGGCCUCCCAAAGUGCUUGGAUUACAGGUGUGAACCACCAUGCCUGCCCUGUGUUUUCUAUUUGUCAAAGUAUUUUCCUUUUAAUUUCUUCUUUGAGGCAUUGGUUACUCAAGACUGUUUUGUUUAUCACUGCUGCUUGGUUGGUUGGUAUUAAAAAAAAAUGUGUUGUUUCAUUUCCACAUUUGUGGAUUUUCCAGUUUUCGUUUUGUUUUUUACUUCUUUUUCUUUUCUUUUUUUUUUUUUUUUGAGACGGUGUCUCGCUCUGUUGCCCAGGCUGGAGUGCAGUGGCAUGAUCUCGGCUCACUGCAACCUCCGCCUCCCUGGUUCAAGCGAUUCUCCUGCCUCGGCCUCCCAAGUAGCUGGAACUACAAGCACACACCACCACACCUGGCUAAUUUUUAUAUUUUUAGUAGGGAUGGGGUUUUACUGUGUUGGCCAGGCUGGUCUCGAACUGCUGACCUUGUGAUCAGCCCACCUCGGCCUCCCAAAGUGCUGGGAUUACAUUACAGGCAUGAGCCGCUGUGCCCAGCCCUUUGCUUUUGAUUUCUAGCUUUAUUCCACUGUAGUCAGAAAAGAUACUUGGUAUGAUAUCAAUCUUCUUAAAAUUUGUUAAACCUUGUUUUGUGACCUAAUAUGUAAUCUAUCACAGACAAUGUUGCAUGUAUGCUUGACAAGAAUGUGUAUUGUCAUUGUUAGGUGGAAUGUUCUCUGUAUGUCUGUUAGGUCCAAUUGCUCUAGAGCAUUGUUCAAGUCCUCUGUUUCCUUUUCGAUAUUCUGUCUGGGUGUUAUAUCCAUUAUUGAAGGUGGGGUUUUGAAAACUACUUUUGUUGUGUUACUAUUUCUAUUUCUCCUCAAUUCUGUCAGUGUUUGCUUCCUAUAUUUGAGUGUUCUGAUGUUAGGUGCAUAUUGAAUUGUUAUAUCUUCCUAGUGGAUUAACCCUUUUAUCAUUUUGUAAUCCCUUUGUCUCUUGUGACAGUUUUUCACCUAAAAGUCUAUUUUGUUUGAUAUAAGUACGGCCACUCCUCUUUUUUUGUUACCAUUUGCAUUAAAAAUCCUUUUUCUGUCUUUUCACUUUCAACCUAUGUGUGUCCUUACAUUUACCCUAUGUAAAUCUCUUAUAGAGAGCAUAUAGUUAAGAUUCUGGUGGGU